rnacentral:rRNA from 1 species
GAUGAACGCUGGCGGCGUGCCUAAUACAUGCAAGUCGAGCGAACAGACGAGGAGCUUGCUCCUCUGACGUUAGCGGCGGACGGGUGAGUAACACGUGGAUAACCUACCUAUAAGACUGGGAUAACUUCGGGAAACCGGAGCUAAUACCGGAUAAUAUAUUGAACCGCAUGGUUCAAUAGUGAAAGACGGUUUUGCUGUCACUUAUAGAUGGAUCCGCGCCGCAUUAGCUAGUUGGUAAGGUAACGGCUUACCAAGGCAACGAUGCGUAGCCGUCCUGAGAGGGUGAUCGGCCACACUGGAACUGAGACACGGUCCAGACUCCUACGGGAGGCAGCAGUAGGGAAUCUUCCGCAAUGGGCGAAAGCCUGACGGAGCAACGCCGCGUGAGUGAUGAAGGUCUUCGGAUCGUAAAACUCUGUUAUUAGGGAAGAACAAAUGUGUAAGUAACUAUGCACGUCUUGACGGUACCUAAUCAGAAAGCCACGGCUAACUACGU